UUCUGUUGCCCCAUCCACACUCCUCUCUCCAGAGCUGUGACCUUUGACGUCUUCAGCAGUGCCCCCACUCUUUACAGGGACAGGACGUAGAUUUCACAAGCUCAUAACAGUUGUUUUCAGAACGGGCAUAAUGAAGAUACUGACACUGCCACCUUCCUCAUACUGCUAGCUGAUAUGGCUAAAUCAGGGGUUCUCAAACUUCAUUACACUGUGACUCUCGUCUGACAACAAAAAUUACUACACAACCCCAGAAGGGGGGGACCAAAGGCUGAGCCCGCCUGAGUUCCACUGUCCCAGGCAGAGGUCCAAAUCCAGAGCCCUGCUGCCUCACGCAGGGCGGCCAAAGCCAAAGAGCUUAACCCCCAGGCCUGUAACCUGAGCCCCGCCACCCAGGGCUGAAGUCCUUGAACUACAUCUUUGACCCUGGUGGUGGGGCUUGGGUUGCAGCCCCAGGCCCCAGCAAGUCUGAUGUAAGCCCUGGAGACCCCAUUAAAACUGGGCUGUGACCCACUUUAGGGUCCUGACCCACAGUUUGAGAACUUCUGGUCUAAAUCCUUUCUGCAAGUACUAUCUCUAGGGAUGAAAGGACAAUUGACUUGCCAUGAC